ACGGAGGAAAAGAAACCAACAGGGAUUGCCUCAGUAACGGCGAGUGAAGCGGCAAGAGCUCAAAUUUGAAAGCUGGCCCCCUCGGGGUCCGCAUUGUAAUUUGCAGAGGAUGCUUCGGGAGUGGCCCCCAUCUAAGUGCCCUGGAACGGGCCGUCAUAGAGGGUGAGAAUCCCGUCUGGGAUGGGGUGCCCACGCCCGUGUGAAGCUCCUUCGACGAGUCGAGUUGUUUGGGAAUGCAGCUCUAAAUGGGUGGUAAAUUUCAUCUAAAGCUAAAUACUGGCCGGAGACCGAUAGCGCACAAGUAGAGUGAUCGAAAGAUGAAAAGCACUUUGAAAAGAGAGUUAAACAGCACGUGAAAUUGUUGAAAGGGAAGCGCUUGCGACCAGACUCGCCCACGGGGUUCAGCCGGCAUUCGUGCCGGUGUACUUCCCCGCGGGCGGGCCAGCGUCGGUUUGGGCGGCCGGUCAAAGGCCCUUGGAAUGUAACGCCCCCCGGGGCGUCUUAUAGCCAAGGGUGCCAUGCGGCCAGCCCGGACCGAGGAACGCGCUUCGGCUCGGACGCUGGCAUAAUGGUCGUAAGCGACCCGUCUUG
rnacentral:rRNA from 1 species